GGAAGGGGGUGACACAGUGACAGAGUGAGGGAGGGGGUGACUAGUGACAGAGUGAAGGAGGUGGUGACUGUCACUAGUCACCCCCUUCCCUCCCUCACUCUGUCACUAGUCACCCCUCCCUCU